AUUGAACGCUGGCGGCAUGCUUUACACAUGCAAGUCGAACGGCAGCGCGGGCUUCGGCCUGGCGGCGAGUGGCGAACGGGUGAGUAAUGCAUCGGAACGUGCCCAGUAGUGGGGGAUAGCCCGGCGAAAGCCGGAUUAAUACCGCAUACGACCUGAGGGUGAAAGCGGGGGACCGAAAGGCCUCGCGCUAUUGGAGCGGCCGAUGUCGGAUUAGCUAGCUGGUGGGGUAAAGGCUUACCAAGGCGACGAUCCGUAGCUGGUCUGAGAGGACGACCAGCCACACUGGGACUGAGACACGGCCCAGACUCCUACGGGAGGCAGCAGUGGGGAAUUUUGGACAAUGGGGGCAACCCUGAUCCAGCCAUGCCGCGUGCGGGAAGAAGGCCUUCGGGUUGUAAACCGCUUUUGUUCGGGAAGAAAUCCUCUGGGCUAAUACCCCGGGGGGAUGACGGUACCGGAAGAAUAAGCGCCGGCUAACUACGUG
rnacentral:rRNA from 1 species